rnacentral:rRNA from 1 species
UACGUAGGGUGCAAGCGUUAAUCGGAAUUACUGGGCGUAAAGCGUGCGCAGGCGGCUUUGCAAGACAGAUGUGAAAUCCCCGGGCUCAACCUGGGAACUGCAUUUGUGACUGCAUGGCUAGAGUGCGGCAGAGGGGGAUGGAAUUCCUGGUGUAGCAGUGAAAUGCGUAGAUAUCAGGAGGAACACCGAUGGCGAAGGCAGGUCUCUGGGCUGACACUGACGCUCAUGCACGAAAGCGUGGGGAGCAAACAGG